GACGAACGCUGGCGGCGUGCUUAACACAUGCAAGUCGAGCGAAGCGGCGGUCGGGUGAGUAACACGUGAGUAACCUGCCUUAGACAUUGGGAUAGCCUCGGGAAACCGGGCUUAUUACCACAUGGUCUAAGAUGGACUCGCGUCCCAUUCGCUAGUUGGUGAGGUAACGGCCCCCCAAGGCGACGAUGGGUAGCCGGGCUGGGAGGGGGAACGAUCACGAUGGAGCUGAGGAACGGUCCAAACUCUACGGAAGGGAGCAGUAGGUGAUAUUGCAGAAUGGAGGGAACUCCGAUGCAGCGACGCGGGGGAAACGGGGAAGGCGGUCGAAUCGUGAAGUUCUUUAAGAUGGGAAGCGGUACCAUAAGAAAAAGCCCCGGCUAACUACGUGCCAGCCGCCGCGGUAAUAC
rnacentral:rRNA from 1 species